rnacentral:rRNA from 1 species
UACGUAGGGGGCAAGCGUUGUCCGGAUUUAUUGGGCGUAAAGAGCGUGUAGGCGGUUAGGUAGGUCCGUUGUGAAAACUCGAGGCUCAACCUCGAGACGCCGAUGGAAACCAUCUAACUAGAGUCCGGAAGAGGAGAAUGGAAUUCCUGGUGUAGCGGUGAAAUGCGCAGAUAUCAGGAAGAACACCCGCGGCUAAGGCGGUUCUCUAGUACGGUACUGACGCUGAGACGCGAAAGCGUGGGGAGCGAACAGG